rnacentral:rRNA from 1 species
UACGUAGGGUGCAAGCGUUGUCCGGAAUUAUUGGGCGUAAAGGGCUCGUAGGCGGUCUGUCGCGUCGGGAGUGAAAACUCAGGGCUUAACCCUGAGCCUGCUUCCGAUACGGGCAGACUAGAGGUAUGCAGGGGGAGAACGGAAUUCCCAGUGUAGCAGUGAAAUACGCAGAUAUCGAGAGGAACACCAGUGGCGAAGGCGAGUCUCUGGACGACACCUGACACUGAGGCACGAAAGCUAGGGGAGCAAACAGG